rnacentral:lncRNA from 1 species
CAAAAACUGCAAAAUUUCCUUAAAAUAACCAUUUCACAGGCAGCAACCCAACAACAGGUUGUCCUAUUCGUCUGAAAAUUUCAAGGCAGAUAGAUCUUGACCUGAUCAACCAUUUUAUACCAUGUCAGAUUUGCUCUAAAUGCUUUGGUUUUUGAGUUAUAAGCCAAAAACUGCAUUUUACCCCUAUGUUCUAUUUUUAGCCAUGGCGGCCAUCUUGGUUGGUUUGACGGGUCACGCCACACAUUUUUUUAAACUAGAUACCCCAAGGAUGAUUGUGGCCAAGUUUGGUAGAAUUUUGCCCAGUAGUUUCAGAGGAGAAGAUUUUUGUAAAAGUUUACGGACGACGGACGACGGACGACAGACGACGGACGCAGGACGACGGACGGCAAGUGAUGAGAAAAGCUCACUUGACCUUUCAGGUCAGGUGAGCUAAUAAAAA